AAACAUACUAUAAUGCUUAUUCAGUUAUUGAGUUAUCUUAUUAGUUGUGAAAUGAACUGGAAUGAACGAAUACAUGAUACUGGUACUUGUGUUUUGCAUUUACAUGGGUUGAGAUUGUAGAGCCCAAUUUAGCCUGGGCCCAUAAACCAGAAACCUAAUAACAAAAAAUAUAAAGUCCACAAGUCCAUUUUACAAAGCCCAAAAUCCAAACUCAUUUACAAUAACCCAAUUCUAAACCCAACUAGCUUAGCCCAAAAAUUCAAAGCCCAAAUGGCCCAAAAUAUUUCAGAAACAAAAAUUGGGGUUUCCUUUGCACCGUAGCUGGCCUCCCAACCCUCGUAUAGCCUCCAGCGCGCCUUCGUACGGCCUUCCCGCACCACCACACGCCACGUCACUUCCUCCGUACGCCUCAGCUGGCCUUGUACUAGCUCAACAUACAAAAAUAGCAGCAGAGCACAAUAGCAGCAGAAGAAAAAGAGACAAAAAAUAUUGUAUUGUUUCUAUUUUCGAGUAUAAAGCCAUCUUUUCAAUUGUAUUAAGGGGGGAUAAAAUACGAGAGACAAACAAAAAGCAAUAAAAAACUAAGGUGAUUUCGGUGCCUCACACUUUCUCUUUUUCGAAUUUGCUUCAUCUUUCUUGAUUUUGCAUGUGAUUUCUUAGUAUAAUAAAAAUCAAAACGAAGACUUACUUUCGUGUAUGAGCCACUAGAAUUUAUCAUCUUCGUCGGCAUCGAAGUUUGAGAAGAUUUCAAGGCUAAAAUUGGCAAACCAAAGCGCUGGGUUCUGAACAAGGGGGAAAAGGGACAUCAUCGGAGAUCAUCAGUCAUCGUUUGUAGUGAUGAAAUGAUGGCUAAGCGGUGCAAAACAUUUAGGGUUGCCUUUUCCCUAUUGAUUCUGCCGAAAUGUUUAAGUUUUUAGAGACUUUAUCCUCUUUUAAUGGGUGACACGAAACGCUGCAGUCUAAGGCAUGUUUAAUAGGCCUAAGAUGACACCGCAUAAUCCCAUUCGACCCGAUCCAAUUCUUUGCCCCCAAGAUCAGCGGGUCUUUGCGGAGAGGGGACAAUUGCGCAAUCGGUCCUUCUUUUUCGCGCUACCAUUCAAUCACAUGUUAUUUGUUUAUUUCAUUUUUUUUAAUUUGGCUUGGCAAUUUGCACAUAUACACAAUUUAAUCCGCGC
rnacentral:lncRNA from 1 species